AUUGAACGCUGGCGGAAUGCUUUACACAUGCAAGUCGAGCGGCAGCGCGGCCUUCGGGCUGGCGGCGAGCGGCGAACGGGUGAGUAAUGCAUCGGAACAUGCCCAGUCGUGGGGGAUAACACUUCGAAAGAAGUGCUAAUACCGCAUACGUCCUGAGGGGGAAAGCGGGGGAUCGCAAGACCUCGCGCGAUUGGAGUGGCCGAUGUCAGAUUAGCUAGUUGGUGGGGUAAAGGCCUACCAAGGCGACGAUCUGUAGCUGGUCUGAGAGGAUGAUCAGCCACACUGGGACUGAGACACGGCCCAGACUCCUACGGGAGGCAGCAGUGGGGAAUUUUGGACAAUGGGGGCAACCCUGAUCCAGCCAUUCCGCGCGAGUGAAGAAGGCCUUCGGGUUGUAAAGCUCUUUCGGCAGGAACGAAACGGUGGGCUCUAACAUAGUCCGCUAAUGACGGUACCUGAAGAAGAAGCACCGGCUAACUACGUG
rnacentral:rRNA from 1 species